rnacentral:rRNA from 1 species
GACGAACGCUGGCGGCGUGCUUAACACAUGCAAGUCGAACGGUGAAGCCUUUCGGGGUGGAUCAGUGGCGAACGGGUGAGUAACACGUGGGUAACCUGCCUCUUGCCCUGGGAUAAGCCUGGGAAACUGGGUCUAAUACCGGAUAUUCAUUUCCUGCCGCAUGGUGGGUUGUGGAAAGUUUUUCGGCGAGGGAUGGGCCCGCGGCCUAUCAGCUUGUUGGUGGGGUGAUGGCCUACCAAGGCGACGACGGGUAGCCGGCCUGAGAGGGCGACCGGCCACACUGGGACUGAGACACGGCCCAGACUCCUACGGGAGGCAGCAGUGGGGAAUAUUGCGCAAUGGGCGAAAGCCUGACGCAGCGACGCCGCGUGAGGGACGAAGGCCUUCGGGUUGUAAACCUCUUUCAGCAGGGACGAAGCGUGAGUGACGGUACCUGCAGAAGAAGCACCGGCCAACUACGUGCCAGCAGCCGCGGUAAUACGUAGGGUGCAAGCGUUGUCCGGAAUUGUUGGGCGUAAAGAGCUCGUAGGCGGUUUGUCGCGUCGACUGUGAAAACCCGAGGCUUAACCUCGGGCCUGCAGUCGAUACGGGCAGACUAGAGUUCGGUAGGGGAGACUGGAAUUCCUGGUGUAGCGGUGAAAUGCGCAGAUAUCAGGAGGAACACCGGUGGCGAAGGCGGGUCUCUGGGCCGAUACUGACGCUGAGGAGCGAAAGCGUGGGGAGCGAACAGGAUUAGAUACCCUGGUAGUCCACGCCGUAAACGUUGGGCGCUAGGUGUGGGGGUCUUUCCACGAUCUCCGUGCCGCAGCUAACGCAUUAAGCGCCCCGCCUGGGGAGUACGGCCGCAAGGCUAAACUCAAAGGAAUUGACGGGGGCCCGCACAAGCGGCGGAGCAUGCGGCUUAAUUCGACGCAACGCGAAGAACCUUACCAAGGCUUGACAUACAGGGAAAUCCUCCAGAGAUGGGGGGUCCGUAAGGGUCCUGUACAGGUGGUGCAUGGUUGUCGUCAGCUCGUGUCGUGAGAUGUUGGGUUAAGUCCCGCAACGAGCGCAACCCUCGUUCUAUGUUGCCAGCGCGUGAUGGCGGGGACUCAUAGGAG